CACAGGAUUGCCCAAAGUAUGCUUAUUCAUGCCUUAGGUGUUGUUGUUGUUGUUGUUGUUGUUGUUGUUGUUGUUGUUGUUGUUUAGAGGCUGGCCUACAGCUUGCUCUGUAAAUCAAGCCGGCCUGGAAUUCAGAGAUCCACCAGCCAUUGUCUCCUGAGUGUCGGGAUUAAAGUUGCAUGCCACCACAGCAAGCUCAGGGCUGGGGAGAUGACUUCGUGGAUAAAGUGCCUGGAGCCGAAGCAUGAAGACCUGAGUUCAGAGCCCAAGUAGUCACAUAGAAGCCAGGCACGUGGCCUGGGGAGAGGUAUUGGCCUGAGACCUGCUUCCCCUCCAGUUCCUAGUCCAGCUGUAGCCCCCACUGUGACUGGAGGACUGCCUUCCCCAGGGGCUGGUGCCUACUUAAGCCGGAAAGCUCGUCUCUCCUUCCGCCACCAGCUGCAUGACGUGGCGUCAGCCAAUGACUCCACCAUUUGAAAAGGACAAGCAGGGGCUAAGCCUCCAAGAACUCUUAGCAACCUGUCACUAGUCUCAGUGGACCCAAGACGGUCAUAACCUCAUUAAAUUCGUUCAGAGUCACAAA